AUGGUUCCUGGUGAUAUGUCAAAAUGGGUGAGAUCAAUCAGGCACGACAAUGGGAGCGAAGAUAACAGAAUGGAUAUGCUUCUUCAGGUGGCUACAACUUGUAGCUUGAUCUCUCCUGAGCAGAGACCCACAAUGUGGCAGGUCUUGAAGAUGUUACAGGAAAUCAAAGAGAUUGUACUAUUGGAGGAUAGUGAAGUGGAUGUACGCAGUAGUAAUGCCGUUGCCAUGUCUUAG